GACGGGUUUACGACCUCGAUGUUGGAUCAGGGUAUCCCAGUGGUGCAGCCGCUACUAAAGGUUCGUUUGUUCAACGAUUAAAACCCUACGUGAUCUGAGUUCAGACCGGAGUAAUCCAGGUCAGUUUCUAUCUAUGAAAAGCUUCCUCUAGUACGAAAGGACCGAGAAAGCACGGCCAAUGUCCCAUGCACGCCGUAUUUGGAAAUCUAUGAAAAACACUCAAUUGACACCCAACUUACUAUUCAACUCUAGAUAAGAGC
rnacentral:rRNA from 1 species